GCCUGUGUAAUGGCUCAAGUGCUUGGCUGCUAACCAAAAUGUCAGUGGUUCGAACUCACCCACAGGCU
rnacentral:tRNA from 1 species